UUGCAUAUCAAAAAGCGGAGGAAAAGAAACCAACAGGGAUUGCCCUAGUAACGGCGAGUGAAGCGGCAACAGCUCAAAUUUGAAAGCUGGCUCCGGCCCGCGUUGUAAUUUGCAGAGGAUGCUUCUGGCGAGGUGCCUUCCGAGUUCCCUGGAACGGGACGCCAUAGAGGGUGAGAGCCCCGUAUGGAUGGACACCAAACCUGUGUGAAGCUCCUUCAACGAGUCGAGUAGUUUGGGAAUGCUGCUCUAAAUGGGAGGUAAAUCUCUUCUAAAGCUAAAUACCGGCCAGAGACCGAUAGCGCACAAGUAGAGUGAUCGAAAGAUGAAAAGCACCUUGAAAAGGGGGUUAAACAGUACGUGAAAUUGUUGAAAGGGAAGCGCUUGUGACCAGACUUGCGCCGGGCAGCUCAUCAGGGGUUCUCCCCUGUGCACUCUGCCCGGCUCAGGCCAGCAUCGGUUCUCGUGGGAGGAUAAGAACGGUAGGAACGUGGCCCCCCUCCGGGGGGGUGUUAUAGCCUGCCGUACGAUACUCCCGUGGGGACCGAGGUUCGCGCUCCGCAAGGAUGCUGGCGUAAUGGUCAUCAGCGACCCGUCUUGAAACACGGACCCA
rnacentral:rRNA from 1 species